UUCCGGUUGAUCCUGCCGGACCCGACUGCUAUUUGGGUGAGGAUAAGCCAUGCCAGUCGUAUGGGAUACCUAAACUUCCCAUGGCAAACUGCUCAGUAACACAUGAUUAACUUACCCUAAAGAAAAUAAUAACCUCGGGAAACUGAGGAUAAUAAUUUAUAGUUGAGAAGGCUUGGAAAAGUUUUUCAAUGAAAUGGAUAAGAAAAAUGGUUUUUAUCUGCUUUAGGAUAGGAUCGUGGUCGAUUAUGGCUGUUGGUGAGGUAACGGCUCACCAAACCUAUAAUCGAUAAGGGCCGUGAGAGCGGGAGCCCUGAGAUGGGUCCUGAGACAAUGACCCAGGCCUUACGAGGCGCAGCAGGCGCGAAACCUCCGCAAUACACGAAAGUGUGACGGGGUUACCCAAAGUGUUCAUUUAUGGACUGUGGUAGGUGAGUAAUGUCCCCUACUAGAAAGGAGAGGGCAAGGCUGGUGCCAGCCGCCGCGGUAAAACCAGCUCUUCAAGUGGUCGGGAUAAUUAUUGGGCUUAAAGUGUCCGUAGCCGGUUUAGUAAGUUCCUGGUAAAAUCGGAUAGCUUAACUAUCUGUAUGCUAGGAAUACUGCUAUACUAGAGGGCGGGAGAGGUCUGAGGUACUACAGGGGUAGGGGUGAAAUCCUAUAAUCCUUGUCGGACCACCAGUGGCGAAGGCGUCAGACUGGAACGCGCCUGACGGUGAGGGACGAAAGCCAGGGGAGCGAACCGGAUUAGAUACCCGGGUAGUCCUGGGCCGUAAACGAUGCACACUAGUGAUGGCACGGCUAUGAGCCGUGUCAGUGCCGAAGGGAAACCGUUAAGUGUGCCGCCUGGAAGUACGGUCGCAGGCUAAACUUAAAGGAAUUGGCGGGGAGCACACAGGGUGAGCUGCGUUUAUUGCAUCACGCCG
rnacentral:rRNA from 1 species